rnacentral:tRNA from 1 species
GCCAGGUUGGCUCAGUCAGUAGAGCAUGGGACUCUUGAUCUCAGGUUUGUGAGUUUGAGCUCUCACGUUGGCU